UCGCAUUCUUCAUUUCUUCAAGAGCGGUUAUUUGCAAGUUCGUCUUCGACACAAAUUUAAUACAUUCCAAUACUUUGCGAUUCAGAUCUUUUAGCUCAAGAACAAUUGGGUGAUUGGAAUUUUGAAUGGGAAGCACGAGAUUAUGAGAUUAGAAACCUCCAAAGCUCAACUAGUUCUUCUUGGAGUUGAAGAGUAGGAGGUUACCCGUCGUAAUAAUCCAUUGUUUUGACCUAUUUGAGUUGUGUUCGGACACUACAACAACAACAAGAACAAUAAACCCAGUGUAUUCCCAUAUAUGGGAUUGGGGCGGCUAGUGUGCACGCAGACCUUACCACUACCUUGGAAAGAUAGAGAGGUUGUUUCUAUAACAGUUGUGUUCGGACAGUGACAUUGACAAUAUUAAUAGAUGCCUGCUUCCUUCCACCAGCAACACGUGUACUUAGAAACCAACUAGUGUUUUUUCCUCUGGUAGAAUUUGGAGUUUGCAACCACAGACUUCUAGGCUACACCUAUCGAUGCUGGAUUUUCAAGCAUAUUCUUGUGUCUAAUUGAUAUGGGCACCUUGGGUAAGAGUUAUUAUGGUGACAGUGAUCUAUUGAUGAUUGACCUAUGGAUUGAGUAUGGAGAAAUUGUAAGGAAUUUCAUUGAGAAUAACUAUGAAAAGCAUAGUCGAGAAAACCUUGAGUUAGCCAAGACUUCAGAUUCAUUGACGAAUUGAAUUAUUUUGUUGAUCGGAAGUUGGAUUUUAGUUGCACCCAAGGCAGUGGCCUAGUGGUUAAUGAAGUAGAAGGAGAACUACGAGAAACCAUUUUAAAUCCAGCGAAGGCAAAAAUACUAUGUGAUUCAUUUCCAUCUUCCAAAGCUUAGGUGGUCAGAGUUACCUAGGCGACCACGCUAGAAGUCCACAAUCACGGAGUGCCAUUAAAAGCUCUUCACCGCGAUCGCGCCACUCAUACCGUGAUCACUGAAGGUGGCAGGUACCGGUGAAAUAGUCGAGGUGCAUGCAAGUUGAUCCAGACGCUACAUCAUAAAAAAGAAGUAUCAUUAGAGUUAAUUGGCAGUGGAGGUGAGCGAUGACUUGAACUAUGACUUUUUUUUAUAAGGUAAUGAAGGUGAGCAAUGACUUGAACUAUGACUUAUUUUUUCAUAAACAAGCAUGAUCAGGAAAUUUAAUUCCUAACUGAGCAUUUAUUUUCAAUGAUUUGAGUUUUUCUAUAAAGAUAUAUGCAAUUGAUA